AAAAAAAACAAAACAUUAAAGUUUAUGUCCGCGAUGCGCGCAGCAUCAGAGUUUUUAAAUUUCAUUUGCCGAAUAUUUGGGAAAGGCUGCCAUAAAUAAAAGGUAUCGCAAAAGAGCGAGCCACGAUCGACGUGACACUAUCACUUCCGAGAACCCAGUCGGCCGUUUUCCCUCCCUUCAGCCGCUCUGCGGCAUACAGAAACCGAAAAUGCAAGGAAAAACAAAAGUUUUCCAUUUUAUCCUCAAUCGAUCUUUGCAGGAUUCGACGAGCUGGUCAGGCAAAAAAGGCAGAAAAGUUAGCCAAUGGACUGGCCGCUGAAUUGGCUUACAAAGUUUCAAUGGCUCAAGUCUGGCCAAAUUCCGGAUCCCCGGAACAAAUAUCUUUAGCGUUGGAUGAACGAAGCUAAUCAUGGGUCAAGACCUGUCAGCAUCGGAUCGAGAGAGAGGCCAGCGAGGUAUGCUCCCGGAAGAUGUUACAAGGUUAAAAGUGCCAACGUUUGUGUUAAAAGUAUUUUUGAUUAUAUUUAUUUUUAUAAAAAAAAAUAUACUUCCGUUAAUUAUAAUAUAAUAAAUGGAUUUUAAAAUCUC